rnacentral:lncRNA from 1 species
AUGCUUAGCAAUCUUUCUGAUAAUCGCAAACUUACUUUUAAUACAUCAUCAAAUAUUUGCUCUGGGCAUUUGCCAGGGUACAAUAGAGGCACGGCGGCGUUGCAAUCGUUAGUGAAUUUUUUUAAGGUAGCUCGAAGGUAUUUUGUUGAACACAGGGAAAAAUCUCUCGGGUUGCACCGCAGGGAUUAUAUCGGCGACUAUCCCCUGUCCAGGCUCAUUCCGUUCCCAGAGGAACGUGUGAACGGCAGCACGGCACCGCUCGGGAAAUUUGUCCGUUCCGAGAGGCAGAAACAUAGGGGUUGCCGCUCCCAGCCUAGGCACCGAGCUGCUGAAGUAGUAAAGAAAAAAAAGCUAUCCCGAAUGACGCAGUUUAAAACUGGCUCUAAAGUCAUCCGGGCACGGAUACCUCUGCAGCGCAGAGCAACCCCGGGAGAACAAGCCAGCGCUCGUCCCCGCGCCGCCGGCCGCCCCGGGGAAAUCCCGCGCGCUGGCUCGUGCCGCCGGCCCGGGGCUUACCUGAUCGCAGCAGGGCGGCGCGGGGGCGGCCGGGGGCGCCGGGCGGCCCGCUCGCCCACUCGCCCGCACCCCGCCACAUGGGGCCGCGCGGGCUGCCCUCGCCCUCCUGCCCCGCCAGCCCGGCGCGCGGCUCCCGCGAAGCUCGCCGAGUCCUGCCGGCUCCGCUCAGCCGGAGCGAGGAUGGAGGGUCACGUGGCGCCCGCCGCUGCGCCCUCGCUCCCUCCCCUCCGCUCUCGCCAUCCCACCGGCUCCCCGACGCCGCGGCCUUGCCCGGCCCGCGGGCUCGCUCCGCGCUGGGAACUCGCUCCCUUUCAGCUCGUUGCCGGGCAAUGUUUUCCCACGACUGCCAAAAAACCUGUUUUUUUUUCUUUAUCUCCGAAGGAAACACCUUYGGAGGCGCCGGAGCAGCCGCUCGCCGUGACCCCUGCGCCGGGAACGGUGGCCGCGUGGAGCUGGUGGGGGGGACGCGGCCCCGCUCCCGGGGACGGCGAGGGUAGUUUCUCCUAA